GUUUGCACUUGUCGGGGAAGGGUGAGAACCUUCGAUUAAGGUUCGACUCGAGCGAAAGCGAGAGAACGUUGCCAACGGCAACGG
rnacentral:sRNA from 4 species